rnacentral:rRNA from 1 species
UCGCUCCUACCGAUUGAGUGAUUCGGUGAAUAAUUCGGACCGCAGCAAUGUUCAGCUUCUGAUCGUUGCAGUGGAAAGUUUAGUGAACCUCAUCACUUAGAGGAAGGAG